UACACCAACCUCACGUCCUGGCCCUCCUCCUGUUCUCUCUGUGUUGUCAUGUGUUGGAUCAGUCUGUGUUGUGGUUCUGCUGGUGUUACUGGUUCUGCUGGUGAGACGAUGUGUUCACAGGAAACCUGAAGUUGAUCAGGAUGAACCUGCAGAAGAUGACAUCAUGUAUAGUGACAUCAAAACAUCAAAUUGUCAACAACAACCAGUGAAACAAAGCCAAGAGACUGACACAGCUGUAGUGUACUCAGCAAUAAGAACUGACAACAUAAUUUAUGGACAAACAGACGUCACAGCAAAGAGGAACGGAG